CACAGAGGGAGCUGAGCUUAUUGAUUCUGUGCUGGACGUUGUUAGGAAGGAGGCGGAGAGCUGCGAUUGCUUGCAAGGUAUGAUCAAAUCCAAACGGUUUCCAUCUUUCUUUGAAGACUAUUGAAACACUUUGACUAUCUGUCUUUUUGUCUCCAAUCGUGCCUUUUUUUGUAUUAUCACUGUAUUCUGAUCUAACUUUGGUUUCUGUUUACUUCCGAAGCUAUACUAUCUAUAAGAGUUUCUUUCAUGCCUGCACAAUGCUUGUCUUUUCUUCCAGCUUAAAAUUUUGAAGCUCUUUCUUCGAAUGCAUAUACUGUGCAUUCGUUCACCAGUAUACAAGUCCUGACAUAUGUUAAAGGAAAUAUGUGCCCAUCUUGGUCUCGUCUAUUGAUGAUUAUUCUGUGCCUUCGCUUAUGUACUCGAAAGGGACUGUACCUUCCGUUUUUGCUUUCCUUCCCAUCUGUACUGCUGGUUGAGUUUGGGUUCAGGACAUAUUACUGUUUCCCUCAGACCGAUACUCUUACGCAAUGAACACCACGAGUAACAGUGUGUGGCUGUUGCAUCCGCAGCACUAAGAUAAAAUUGGGUUCUUGAUACCAUUUUAGUGACUUCGCCUCUUUUCUAUGUCGCAGGUUUUCAGGUAUGCCAUUCUCUUGGAGGAGGAACUGGUUCAGGAAUGGGAACACUCUUGAUUUCAAAAAUCAGGGAAGAGUAUCCAGAUAGAAUGAUGCUUACAUUCUCUGUCUUUCCUUCCCCCAAGGUUUCAGAUACCGUGGUUGAGCCAUAUAAUGCCACAUUGUCCGUCCAUCAACUUGUUGAAAAUGCAGAUCAAUGUAUGGUGCUCGACAACGAGGCUCUUUAUGACAUCUGCUUCCGGACUUUAAAGCUAACAACUCCAACUUGUAAGAACUCUUUGCGAAGUCCAUCACAUCUUGUGUGAAAUGAAUGUGAACUUGCAAGCAUAUACACUCAUGUUUCAAAUCGGACAGUUCCUCACCCCGAGGAGUUGGAAGCGUUUCCUGGAGGUGAAAAUCUGGUUUUGUAGUUACUCAUGGUCAAUCUGUUGGUUGGGUAAACGAACUGAUUUGGUGGUGGGUUCUGUUCUACAGUUGGAGAUUUGAACCACCUGAUUUCUGCAACUAUGAGCGGUGUGACUUGUUGUCUACGAUUUCCUGGGCAGUUGAAUUCUGAUUUGCGCAAACUCGCCGUCAAUCUUAUUCCCUUCCCAAGGCUGCACUUCUUUAUGGUUGGAUUCGCUCCCCUAACAUCUAGAGGAUCACAACAAUACAGAUCUUUGACAGUCCCGGAACUUACACAACAGAUGUGGGACGCCAAGAACAUGAUGUGUGCUGCGGAUCCCCGUCACGGACGCUACUUGACAGCCUCAGCUAUGUUCAGAGGUCGGAUGA
rnacentral:lncRNA from 1 species